CUCUACACCCUUUGUGACAUACCUACAACUGUUGCUUCGGCGGGUAGGGUCCCCGUGACCCUCCCGGCCUCCCGCCCCCCCGGGCGGGUCGGCGCCCGCCGGAGGAUAACCAAACUCUGAUUUAACGACGUUUCUUCUGAGUGGUACAAGCAAAUAAUCAAAACUUUUAACAACGGAUCUCUUGGUUCUGGCAUCGAUGAAGAACGCAGCGAAAUGCGAUAAGUAAUGUGAAUUGCAGAAUUCAGUGAAUCAUCGAAUCUUUGAACGCACAUUGCGCCCGCCAGCAUUCUGGCGGGCAUGCCUGUUCGAGCGUCAUUUCAACCCUCAAGCCCUGCUUGGUGUUGGGGCCCUACAGCUGAUGUAGGCCCUCAAAGGUAGUGGCGGACCCUCCCGGAGCCUCCUUUGCGUAGUAACUUUACGUCUCGCACUGGGAUCCGGAGGGACUCUUGCCGUAAAACCCCCCAAUUUUCCAAAGGUUGACCUCGGAUCAGGUAGGAAUACCCGCUGAACUUAAGCAUAUCAAAAAGGSGGAGGAAA
rnacentral:rRNA from 1 species